GCCCAGGUGGUGGAAUUGGUAGACACACCAGCUUGAGGGGCUGGCGCCGCGAGGCGUGGGGGUUCGAAUCCCCCCUUGGGCA
rnacentral:tRNA from 1 species